UUCAGCCUAGGUUUAGGUUUUAUAUUUCUCUUCUCUCGGUCUCAAACCCCCAACCGAAGUUAUUCAACUUCCGAUCAAAAAGGUUUUGAUUCUACAUGACCAAGUCCGUCGCUGACGACAUCGAUCACCAUCAAAGCCUUCGCCGACCGCCCCGCGAUGUUCCCUUUUUCACUUUCUUCAAAAAUCCAAACGUAGAACAAGUGGCAACAACCAUCGUGAGAAGCUUCCUUGACCUCCAGUAGCCACCAUUUCAACAGUCGCCGUGGCGAGUUCUUCAUCUCUGACGAGCCUCCAUGUGUUGUCGUCGUUAACCUUGUAAUGCCGUUGGAAAAAGGUGACAUCGUCGUCGCAACAAUCAUCGUUGUUGCCACCACACUUGGGGUUUCUCGUUCCAUCUUCUUCUAGGGUCCCCUGUAUCUGCGGACAUCGUAGAGCGAGUAGCUUCCAUGGAGAAUGGCUUGAAUGCAUUUUCAGUUUUCUAGGGAGGUCUUGUUUGAAUUGAUGUAUUGAAGCAGUCCUCAUAAUUUCAGGGUCUCCCAAAAACUUGUUUCACAUUUUAUGGGCCCAAGGGACUACAUAUUCAUAUGGUUCGCACAGAGUAAGCAGAUGAGUUUUAUCAGAAAGAACUUGGUGUUCUCUUCACUCCACCAAUUGGAGGAGAAAAUGUUGAGAGUCGGAAAGGACUUGAAUCAGAACGUAAAUUGGAAUUAAAUUCGAAGAUGUGGAAAGGGUGUGGCAUCUUAGAGGAGGAAAGUAGUUUAAAGUUACAAACAUUCACACAACAGGUUUUCUUCUUUCACUGUUUGCUUUGGGUUUUUGAAAUAUUAAACGAUAUUUUCUGCUAUUAAGUAUUCUAAAUUGGUGAAGAAUUGUAAAAGAGAGCAAUUGGAGUAGUUUAGGUGGUGUUUAUUAUCAGGUUAAGAUAGAUUCAAUUUGGAAGCUUAGAACUUAGAACUCAACUUCCAUUAUUUUUCCUUUUUCUAUGGUGUAGUUAACUUGAAAUAAUUUGUUCAAGAUGUAAGUUGAGUCAUUCAUUAUUGAAGAGCUGAAAUUGCCAAUUGAAAGGAGUUGCACUUGGAACGUGUACCUGUUGAACCAGUGAAGACUACUUCUUGCUGCCAAGUUAGAAGUGAAAGAAGCAACAUAGCCUAGUCCAUUGCAACUUAAGACAGCCUAUCAACUACACAUUAAUUCAUUGGAACCGGAAAAGUCAAUUGAAUUGCUGACUUGCAAUUGGAGUAAUAAAUAGUUAGGGUAGUUAAUCUUAGUGAGAUGUGUAUGCAGUGGUGGAACUUGCUCGAUAUUUAUGGGGGUGCCAAAAUAUAAUUAAAAUUUAUAUAUUUAAUUUAUAUAUUUAA